rnacentral:rRNA from 1 species
GAUGAACGCUGGCGGCGUGCUUAAUACAUGCAGGUCGAGCGAACGGACGAGAAGCUUGCGGCGCGGAUGUUAGGGGCGGACGGGUGAGUAACACGUGGAUAACCCACCUAUAAGACGGGGAUAAUCUCGGGAAACCGGAGCUAACACCGGAUGAUCUUUUGAACCGCAGGGUUCGAAAGUGAAAGACGGUGUUGCUGUCACUUAUAGCUGGAUCCGCGCUGCAUUAGCUAGUUGGUAAGGUAACGGCUUACUAAGGCGACGAUGCAUAGCCGACGUGAUAGGGUGAUAGCCCACACUGGAACUGGGACGCGGUCCAGACUCCUACGGGAGGCCGCAGUAGGGAAUCUUCCGCAGUAGGCGAGAGCCUGACAGAGCAACGCCACGUGUGAUAUGACGGUCUUGGGAUCGUAAAGCUCUGCUACUAGGGAAGAACAUAUGUGUAAGUAACUGUACAGAUCUUGACGGUACCUAAUCAGGAAGCCACGGCUAACUACGUG